AACGAACGCUGGCGGCAGGCCUAACACAUGCAAGUCGAGCGCCCCCUCGGAGCACAGCAAUCAGCGGUCAGCAGACAGCGAUCAGAGUGGUCUGAUUGCUGACGGGCUGACUGCUGAUAGCUGUUUUCCGAUGGGGGAGCGGCGGACGGGUGAGUAACGCGUGGGAAUUUUCCUCGAAGGUACGGACGACUCAGGGAAACUUGGGCUAAUACCGAUGAUGCAGAGAUGCC
rnacentral:rRNA from 1 species